ACACAAAACGCGAAUACACAUCAGAUUGAAAUAAGAUGUGGAGUGAAACACAUCUUUUAAAAAAACUAUUUAAUUUAUUAGCAACAAAUGUGUGAAAGAAACCAAACAUUUUGAAUAAUAUUCUGUGCAAGGUGUUAUCUGAACGUUUGCAUCAUUUAUUCGCAUGACGAGGAUUUUAAUUUAAUCUUUCUUGAUUGAUUAAGGUGAGAAUAAUCUUUAUUCAAUAAUUGGAUUUUGUUUUGUUGAAAAGGAGAAUAUGUUUGCUUUAUUUUCACCGUCUUCUUUGCGGAAUAUGGAAUAAGAGCAAGUGUUCACGGGCAGCUGUCAAUUGUUACAUUAGUAUGUAAGCAAGAUGUUGCAGUCGUACAUGUAACGUUGCAGGACUAGUUACUCUACAUCCUUGGUGUCAUGGCUGGAUUUAGGAGAUAAAUUACCCAGAUACACAUGACAUUUUUAUUUUUGCCACCCGUAUCACAACGACUUAUGCGAAUAUUACCUAUAAAAUUGUCUUCUUCUUGUAGUAUUACGCUAUUAUGGACUUAAAAAUACAUAAACUGCACAUUAAGUCCUUGGGCUAUUUACUUAAAUGAUGUAAGGGCAUAUAGGAUUUGUAGAUUUUCAGAUUUCGUCUUCGGAUUUACGGGUAGAAUAUGGUUGUCAGUAUAUCAAUCAACCCUGGAGUGAUAGACCAAACAUGGCCGCAACGGUCCACUUUUGACGACAUUGAAUACAUAUCUGUUUUAUCAGCAGACGAUAUCAUUGAGAUGUCGUGUCCAACCCAAGCUUUGCCCGACACAUUUCCUCACGAUUUGUCGGAAUCUGAAAUCUCAUUUUACGCAAACGAAAACAUGGAUAUGAAAACUGAAUUAGUCAGCGAGCCCCAGACUCCCCAGGAAUCCAUCCCUACCACCGUCAGCCGCAUGACAUUCUCCGACAUCUUUCACAAACAAGACACAUCCUGCUGUUCAGACAGUAUGGACAUGCUAAGCUGGACUCAGAAGCAUCCUCAGAAUUGGAGUACGUUAGAGGUCCUCGAUUGGUUAUACUAUGUUGCUGAUGCCAAACACCUUGAUAUUGCAAAACUACGAGGAGAACAAUUCAACUCUGUGACUGGAAAAGAACUUUGUGAAAUGACUCUCGGUCAGUUUAUUGAGCGAGACCCAGAAUACGGACAGCAGUUUUAUGAAAUGUUCCGAAGGCAUGUUAACGAGGCCCAGUUCAUCACCCCCCAACAGAGCGAGGUCGGCACGGACACGUCCAGUCAACUGACGGACCUCGUCAACGCCCUCCUCUUCCCGUCCUCCUCCUCAUCAUCUUCCUCUUCAUCUGAAGACAUCAUGGAAAUAGAUGAAUCUACGAGCAAAAUGUUAGAUAACAACAUAGAGACGGUAUACGACCCCACGCUAGGCGCCCCAAAAGUCAACAUCUGCGGGGAGUGGUACGAUAUCGACAGUGAUCCGGCCCUGUUCCCGACCGAUAAUAGUUGUCCUACUUGGGUCGAUCCUGGAUACAUUAGCGGAGAUUCAGAAAUUGGAAGUGAACACGACAAGAACGAGUUAUCUGUGAGCGCUGUGUUCUCUGACGAGGAGAUGCCAGAACCAAAGAAAGCCAAAAACAGGACCAGAAACUCCUCCAGCGUUUCAAACGACAGCGGCAUCGUGGAGCCAGAACAAGAGGCAGAAAGGGUGCCAAAGAAGUGCAACAGAGGCAGAAAAGUGGGCCAAUCUUCAAAAGGAAAUCAUUUAUGGGAAUUCAUCCGCGAUUUGCUGAAAGAUUCCGCCUUUAACCCGACUCUUCUGCGCUGGGAGGAUAAAGAGACCGGGGUGUUCCGGUUUGUGCAGUCCGAGGCAGUUGCGCAAAUGUGGGGCCGCAAAAAGAACAACACGAGCAUGACAUAUGAGAAACUGAGCCGUGCUAUGAGGUUUUGCAGAUCAGCAGGCUAUUUUGCAGACACCUCUAAACUCGCUUUAGAUAUUACUAUAAGCGAGGAAUCCUCGAUCGAGUGGACGGGAGGCGUCUGGUCUACAAGUUUGGACCCAAUUCCCACGGAUGGAAAGACUGAACAAGUCUCAUUGGUGCAAAAUCAAAAUUACUUCAUGACGUCGACUGCAUCAAUUUGUCGGUGGAAGCGAGUCGCGGAGACAUGCGCAGUUACCAGUUCAAUGACGAUUCCGUCAUGGCGCAUGCGCAAAAGAAUAUCAGACGUCCAGACAUGGCACAACAGCCUGUGCCAAGAGGAUACCAAAGUUGUUGUAAAAGUGUUCAUCAAAAACUGUGCAUUAAGUCAUCAAACUCAUUGACAUUAUAGUUCUAGAUGAAAAUACGUAUGAAUGUUUGUGUGUAUAGACACAUAUUUACACAUUCGCCAAAAAAAUCAACACAAAGUCGUUACAGAAAGGCAGCUACAUUAAAAAAAAACUUCUUUAAGAAUGCGUACUUAUUGCUAAUGGGGAAAAAUGACAAUCCAUUCUCUUAUCUGAGUUACAACUACUUGUUUUUUUUAAGAACUGUGUCUUUAAGAACAAUGUCUUUAAUAACAAUGUCUUUAAUAACAGUGUCUUUUAAUGAUCUCUUAACUGAUGUGACUUUAAAAACAAAAUCCAAAAAUAGUCUCCAGGAACAUGUUUGUAAUGGACCUGAAGACAGAAGAGCUUGGUGACUGACAGGUGCGAGCUCUCCCAACAUCCAAAAACUAGAAGUCCCACACUGUGCUAUAAUUAGUUAAUUAAUUUAUUGUGUAAUUUAUUUAUUUCAUAUGACAAAUUAUGUAUUAUAUUAAUUGUUGAAAUCUAUUUUUGUACAUUUGUAAGAAAAAUAAAAACAAUCAUAAAAAUAUGACAUC
rnacentral:misc_RNA from 1 species